UGGGAAUUUUGGACAAUGGGGGCAACCCUGAUCCAGCCAUCCCGCGUGUGCGAUGAAGGCCUUCGGGUUGUAAAGCACUUUUGGCAGGGAAGAAACAGCCUGGGAUAAUACCCCGGGCGACUGACGGUACCUGCAGAAGUAAGCACCGGCUAACUACGUGCCAGCAGCCGCGGUAAUACGUAGGGUGCAAGCGUUAAUCGGAAUUACUGGGCGUAAAGCGUGCGCAGGCGGUUCGGAAAGAAAGGUGUGAAAUCCCAGGGCUUAACCUUGGAACUGCACUUUUAACUACCGACUAGAGUACGUCAGAGGGGGGUAGAAUUCCACGUGUAGCAGUGAAAUGCGUAGAGAUGUGGAGGAAUACCGAUGGCGAAGGCAGCCCCUGGAUGAUACUGACGCUCAUGCACGAAAGCGUGGGGAGCAAACAGGAUUAGAUACCCUGGUAGUCCACGCCCUAAACGAUGUCAACUAGCUGUUGGGGUUUAUUAACCUUAGUAGCGCAGCUAACGCGUGAAGUUGACC
rnacentral:rRNA from 1 species